rnacentral:lncRNA from 1 species
AGCCUACUGCGCGGAUGGCGCACGUAAGCCUACUGCGCGAACGGUGCACACAGGCCUACUGCGCGCAAGACCCAGGCUCAAAGGUCCUAUCCGCAUAGGCCUGCUGUGCAGACGGCGCGCGCAUAGUGUGUAGCCAGUCUAUGCGCAAAGUGACACGCAGAUGGCUAGUCUGCGCGCUAUAAGAAAAGAAAAAGUGACAUGCGUGCUGGCGUGCAGAAGGGAUGUGUAUGCUGUGCGCACCUCAC